rfam:Aedes albopictus isolate Foshan contig63734, whole genome shotgun sequence.
UGCCCAGCAACUCCUAUCCCUACCUCCACGCGGUACCGGCCGGAAACUAUGAGCAACCUUAGGGAAGAUCGGGUAACCAACCCUGGUGGGAACUUUGGUCGUAGGCUGACAGGGAAGG